rnacentral:rRNA from 1 species
UACGGGAGGCAGCAGUGGGGAAUAUUGCACAAUGGGCGAAAGCCUGAUGCAGCUAUGCCGCGUGUAUGAAGAAGGCCUUAGGGUUGUAAAGUACUUUCAUCGGGGAGGAAAAAACAAAACUAAUAAUUUUAUUUCUUGACGUUACCCGAAAAAGAAGCACCGGCUAACUCCGUGCCAGCAGCCGCGGUAAUACGGAGGGUGCUAGCGUUAAUCAGAAUUACUGGGCGUAAAGAGCACGUAGGCGGUUUUUUUAAGUCAGAUGUGAAAUCCCUGGGCUUAACCUGGAACUGCAUUUUGAAACUGAAAUACUAGAGUAUCGUAGAGGGAGGUAGAAUUCUAGGUGUAGCGGUGAAAUGCGUAGAUAUCUGGAGGAAUACCUGUGGCGAAAGCGGCCUCCUAAACGAAUACUGACACUGAGGUGCGAAAGCGUGGGGAGCAAACAGGGAUUAGAUACC